rnacentral:ncRNA from 2 species
GCAAAACCUAAGGGGUGGCUUCGGCCUGAGAUGCGAACUGGAUCUGAGUGAUUCCAGCCAGCGAACCCUUGAACCUGAUCCGGUUAAUACCGGCGUAGGAAUAGGUCAGGGCUUGUUC